UACGGGGGGUGCGAGCGUUAUUCGGAAUUAUUGGGCGUAAAGGGCGCGCAGGCGGUUGAAUAAGUCAGGUGUGAAAGCCCUUGGCUUAACCAAGGAAGUGCAUUUGAUACUAUUUGACUUGAGUAUGGGAGAGGGAAGUGGGAUUCCUGGUGUAGAGGUGAAAUUCGUAGAGAUCAUGAGGAACACCGGUGGCGAAAGCGACUUCCUGGACCAAUACUGACGCUGAGGCGCGAAGGAGUGGUGAGCAAACAGG
rnacentral:rRNA from 1 species